GACUUUAAUUUCUUCAGUUACGUACAAAAUAAUCCUGAUGGAUCUACAAAAUAGAGUAUCAAAUAAGAAGCAACAAUUUGCAGAGUGUUAGUGUAAAAUUCUCCAUGAAAUCAUGGCAAGUAUUAUACAUUCUCCCUGAGGUCCUCCGUGUAGGUACUUGGUUAUUCGAUCGAUAGACCAGAAAACACACAGAAGCCCUUGAGGAAGAGUGAGUAAUGAAUGCCAUUAUUGUUGUUGUUGACGAAAAUUCUAGACAGUAAUAUUGUCCACUCUCCUCGAUGACCUCCAGCCUUGUCAUGCAUGUGUCUGGCACUGCUGGAAGUCUUUGAGGGAGAGUGAGCAAUAAAAAUGUCUCGUACGUGGGAACACUAUUACUUCAUUAUUCUUGAUCGCCAGCAAGCCACAGCUUGUUCAAACCCCCUGCAAGAGCUUCUAGCCUACUAAUCCCAGCUGAUCGAAAUGAAUUACCUUUUUUUGUUUUUCCAUUUUUGAAUGCAUGGGCUAGGGCAGAUAUGCAGAAGCCCUUUAGGGAGAGUGAGCAACCAAUGGCUUGACAGAAAAGAUAUUAA
rnacentral:misc_RNA from 1 species